UGGGGAAUUUUGGACAAUGGGGGAAACCCUGAUCCAGCCAUCCCGCGUGUGCGAUGAAGGCCUUCGGGUUGUAAAGCACUUUUGGCAGGAAAGAAACGUCAUGGGUUAAUACCCCGUGAAACUGACGGUACCUGCAGAAUAAGCACCGGCCAACUACGUGCCAGCAGCCGCGGUAAUACGUAGGGUGCAAGCGUUAAUCGGAAUUACUGGGCGUAAAGCGUGCGCAGGCGGUUCGGAAAGAAAGAUGUGAAAUCCCAGAGCUCAACUUUGGAACUGCAUUUUGAACUACCGGGCUAGAGUGUGGCAGAGGGAGGUGGAAUUCCGCGUGUAGCAGUGAAAUGCGUAGAUAUGCGGAGGAACACCGAUGGCGAAGGCAGCCUCCUGGGAUAACACUGACGCUCAUGCACGAAAGCGUGGGGAGCAAACAGG
rnacentral:rRNA from 1 species